rfam:Gorilla gorilla gorilla genomic chromosome, chr8, whole genome shotgun sequence
GCUGGGCAUGGUGGUGUGUGCCUGUAAUCCCAGCUACUUGGGAGGCUGAGGCAGGAGAAUCGCUUGAACCGGGGAGUCGGAGGUUGCAGUGAGCCGAGAUCGCGCCACUGCAGUCCAGUCUGGUGACAGAGCGAGACUCUGUCUCAA